ensembl:lncRNA
AGUCGCUCUUUGGCAGGGGAGAUCCACAACCCAAGUGUGGUGUGAAGAAGAUUUCCAGAUCUGUGCAACUGGAAUAAAAGGAGGGGUCGAGGGGGACCACCCGUAAGGAUCAGAUAAGAGCACGGUUACCCUAAUCAACAUGGUCACGCUGUUUCUCUCAGAGUGACAGCGCCGCGCCAACAACAUGACAAAGCGUCCAGCCGCGCGCUCCUCGCAGAUGUCGGCCGUGAGAGACUCGUCUGUUCCCGUGCAGAGCGUGGACCCUUGGCACAGAAUCAAUGUCAGUGCACAGUAUUUUUCUCGCGACAGAAAUUAAUAGUUUAUCUUAAUUUCUGUCUGAGUGGAGCACAUGGAGUCAAGAAUAGGGGGUUGUUGUGUGACACCAACAUAAGGCACAAUGGGUAUUUUUUUUCUCAUAAUACAAUCAAACAUGCACUGAAUAUUGAUAAAGCACCA